CGGACCAAAGCGGGGGACCUCCGGGCCUCGCGCCAUCAGAUGAACCCAUAUGGGAUUAGCUAGUAGGUAAGGUAACGGCUUACCUAGGCGACGAUCCCUAGCUGGUCUGAGAGGAUGAUCAGCCACACUGGGACUGAGACACGGCCCAGACUCCUACGGGAGGCAGCAGUGGGGAAUAUUGCACAAUGGGCGCAAGCCUGAUG
rnacentral:rRNA from 1 species